UCCCGGCCCAGAGUGGAACGGAGUCGGCGCCGCUGCCCUAACUGUGCCUCCAGCCGCCCGCUCGGCUGCCGACCUCUCGGUGCCUUCGCCAGUCGCUCCGGGCUAGCUUCCUCGCUCCCUCGGCGCCCGCUGCGGCUUCUCUCCUCCUCUUUCGCCUCCUCCGCUUCCCUCUUCUCCUCCUCUUCCUCGUUCUUCUCCUCCUCCUCCUCUUUCCCCACCUCCUCCCCCUCAGCCACCGCCUCCAACUGCACUAACACCACUCCCUCCGGGGCACCCGGGUCCCUGCAGAGUCUUCGGCCCGCGCAGCCUUUGCUGCGGACCCCUGGAUCCUAAACCUGCGGCGCCGGCGCCGAAGCUGCUAGGACCGAAGCACCGACAGACGCGCAGAUUUCUUCACGCCCUGAGCUCCACUGAGGCUGUCCCCUGCCGCCUGGCGUCCAGGUCACUGAGAUGGCUUCGGGAGUCCGGCGAGGAUUCUGCCUUCUUCACUACACCAAAGGUGUCUCCUGGGUUCUCAAACCAGCUGGCGACAAUACUUCAAUGGUAGCAGUGUGUCUGUCUGCCACCAGCUGUGUUCUGGCCGCCCACAACCUGAAAUAAACCGUAGAGUCCCGGUUCCGGCUUCCCAAAUGAAGAUCUGUUUAAUGAAGACUGAUCCUCAGCUCUGGGGUCUGACAUCUAAGGAUGAAGCAAAAUGGUUAAUUCAGCCAUGAUCUUUGCUUGCAGCAGAGAGUGUCUCAGCCCUGGGGAGAUGUAAAUCACUCCAGGAUCACUACUUAAUACCUCUGGGUGGGACAAGUUGUCAUGGUAUCAUCAUCCUUUGCCACUAUAGCGACAUUCAUUGCAAAAAUGAGAUGCAUCUGUUCCUGGCUGCACCAAGAUACCUCAAGAGGAUGAUGGGCAUCAAAGAGGCUCUUCACAGAGUUCGUUAGCCAUUUGGGCAAGAAACUGCUCUUGCCUGGACUGCUUCAUGGUAUGCUGUAAAAACUGAACAUGCAGGACCCACAGAGAAAUGACGGCUGAACUUGCCUCAAGGUGAGAUGGUUCUUUGGGGUUUCUGCUACAUGAAAAAGUCUGCCAAACAUUCCACAGAACAUAGAAGAAAGUGACUGACAAACUGCCAAUAUAGGAAGAACU